CGGAGUGGACGCAUCACUGGUGUUCGGGUUGUCAUGCCAAUGGCACUGCCCGGUAGCUAAAUGCGGAAGAGAUAAGUGCUGAAAGCAUCUAAGCACGAAACUUGCCCCGAGAUGAGUUCUCCCUGACCCUUUAAGGGUCCUGAAGGAACGUUGAAGACGACGACGUUGAUAGGCCGGGUGUAUAAGCGCAGCGAUGCGUUGAGCUAACCGGUACUAAUGAACCGUGAGGCUUAACCUUACAACGCCGAAGGUGUUU
rnacentral:rRNA from 1 species